UUUAGAAAAUGUCUUCACCUUUCCACAUCAAAUCAUCCGGAAAUUGAUUCAGCAAUCUGCCAGGUUAAAUACCAAAUACAAAUAUGUUAAUACGGAAUGCUCUGAGGAUUUUUUGAGGACACAUUUUAUGACCCAGGUACACUGUCAGAGUGACAGCAUACUUUGAUGAAAUUGUGCUAAAACUGGCUGCACUGAUAGAUUUGUUUUUGAUUGUUUGACACUUCUAAAUAUUUUAGUUUUCUGCAGAAAAAAUCUCAGAAAACUAACGACUGAUUUUUGUCGACGUCGGGCGCCAGUUACAGUUACAGUUUGAAAUUAUAUCUCACCUCGGAUGAACGUGCCCGUUAUGUGUUACCCCGCAACAGCUGACUUAACUGAUUGUUCAAAUCCUCGAAUUUAUCCUGCUCGCUGUUGUUCAUGUUUUUAUUACUUUCCCCUAGUUCUACACAAUCAUUAGCCAUUGGAUCGGUUCGUGAUUUUAGGGAAUAGUAAACGUUAUGAAAAAAUCCAUUGUAUAAUAUAAUUAUAGUGUAUAGUUCAUGAAUCCGAAGUGGUUCAAAAGGAUGUCGCUGUACAGAUUCAGAGCGGCCGCUUCCAGCUCAGCAAAAGUGAAAGCCACUUGACGGUUAAAUUCGUAGUGUGUCCGCUGAUAGCGCUCGGGGACAGAAAAAUCUCAUAGGUCAGAGUCGCUUCCGACUUCGUUACCGUCAACAUUAAACACAACAGCAAGAUACUUGGAAAGGACUCUCGUUCGAACAAACAUAAUGGAAGCGUAUUCUACACGCACAUAUUCACUCGGGCCAACCGUGUGACUCAUUUGGAAAAAGGACUCAUCGUCGGUUUCAUGGCAGCGAAGUGAGCAGACAAAAAAGGCAUCGUUUUUUCCACAUGAUCGUUCUGAGCAAAAUUCAGCGAUUUGCCAGGCAUAAACCACCGAUGAGACAGUACCCGUUCGGAUUCAGGACGUUUUCCCAUACAUUGUACCCGGUCGAAGCGAUGCAGAUAACUGGGUCAAAAAGGCGGAGGUUCUGCGAAUUUCUGCACUCGUUAGCGAUCUGAGUAUGACCAAGGACAAGGAAUCAGAACCGGCGACUGACAGUCCAGAGAAAGAGAAUGCGGAAAAACCUUCUAGUCCAUAGCUCCUGAAGAAAAACGAGCUGAAGCGAAUAUGGAGAAACAGCUUCCUCCACGGAAAAUGCAGAGGCAUGCAACGCGGCGGAUGCAAGUUUGCUAAUUGAAAUUAUUCGCAAAGAUCUAGUAGAAUUAAAACUGGAGGUGCUGCGAAACGAUCCUUUUUCGACGCUAUACUCGGUUAAAACUAUCGACGCUUUGCACCUGAUGCCGGAACUGCCCACCCCGAGAGCAGAUGAGCGCUGGGGAAUGUUUUCAGCCACCUGGAGGAGGAAGUUCAGCGCGGAAGAAAUGUUACCUGACUUCGCCGAUCUGGUAUCUGGACUUUUUUGAUGAUCUCAUAGAGAUUGGGUGUGCAGAUGGGCGUUUAAAGUUCUGGGAGGGAACGACUGGUAGCUUUUAGGAUAUAUAUGAAGCUGAAAACAACCACAACAAUGGGGUAACUAACAUAAACCUCGCCGGUGACAAAGUGAUAGUCGCACGGUUGAGUGAACGAAUCGAUUUUCUGAGACUGGAAACGUACACGUAAGGUUUUCAGAUCGAUUGGGGAUUUACGUCUGCAUAUGGGCGAACCCACGUACGCAGCGGUUCGGCAGGAAGCAUUAGUUUAUUUCAGCAACCCGCCGGCUCAAAUCCGUCCACAGCGUUGCCAGCUCAACAUCACGCAUCCGAGGAGGAGCUUCGAUGUAUCCUGGAGUUUCACCAGCAGGGUCACCGGUUACAUGUUUGGAAGUGGCGGGCGGUACAGUCAUUACUGGCAGCCAGGGCCACACUGUUAACGUGUUCCGGCUUGAUAGCCACCUAUUGCAGUUCACCCUAAACGGCCAUUGCGGUCCUAUCACAUGUAUUUUCAUAGACCAGUGGCAGGCCGAGAUGGGCGCAUCUGGUUGCCAGGAUGGUGUGCUAUGUGUGUGGGACUUGAUACGGGGUGCCUGUAUGUACAAAAUUGAAGCCCAUGACGACAUGACGUCGCACUUGCCUGUUCCCCGAGUUACGCAAUAUCGCUCGGACUGAACGAACGAAUACGGUUUUGGGAUAGAUUUCAGGGUCAGCCGCUCAACACCAUCACCGUCAGUCAUGCAUAUUCAUCGCUUGUGAUGCUGACGCUUCUGAACGAAGCCAUUGCUAGCACGAGUUUUUGAUUUGGA